UGGGGAAUUUUGCACAAUGGAGGAAACUCUGAUGCAGCGACGCCGCGUGUGUGUUGAAGAUCUUCGGAUUGUAAAACUCUGUCCUUAGUGAAGAUAAUGACAGUAACUUAGAAGCAAGCCCUGGCUAAAUACGUUCCAGCAGCCGCGGUAAUACGUAUGGGGCAAGCGUUGUCCGGAAUUAUUGGGCGUAAAGGGUACGUAGGCGGUUUAAUAAGUCCUAAUUAAAAGGCUAUGGCUCAACCAUAGUAUGGUUAGGAAACUGUUGAACUUGAGUAGAUGAGGGGAAAGUGGAAUUCCAUGUGUAGCGGUGAAAUGCGUAGAUAUAUGGAGGAACACCAAUGGCGAAGGCAACGUUCUGGAAUCAAACUGACGCUGAGGUGCGAAGGAGUGGGGGGCAAACAAG
rnacentral:rRNA from 1 species